rnacentral:lncRNA from 1 species
GUAGAUCAUCAUCAUAACAGCUCCCAGUGAAUCAAUGCCUCCCUGCAUCCACACCCCUUUGUAACAUGAUAUUGUUGCUCUUCCCAUCAAGAAAUGGUCUCUUUUGGCUAGGCACAGCGGCUCACGUCAUCCCAGUACUUUGGGAGGCUGAGGCAGGCAGUUGGCUUGAGUGUAACAAUAUGUUGAAUUUGCCAUGGGCCUUUAAAGCUUCAAUGUUGUGAAGAGCUCUGCAUGAAAUUUUAAAGACACUGGACCUUUCAUCUGCACAACAGCAGGGCAGCUCGCUAUAGGGACAAGAAAGGAAGAGAGAGAGAGAGAACAUUUCUGAAGUAAUAGUGAAAAAUAACAGCAGAAGCAAUUAUUUCAUCAAAGAUUCCAGGGGGAGGCUCCUCCGUGCUCCUGAGAGGCCGAACACGGGGUUCCCAGCACAGCUUACUGCUCAGUGUCUCCUGAGCCACGGAGGAAGACAUGUGGAAGGACCACCAGGUGCUAAUAUGUGUUCAUGUCUAUGGCAAUGCCGACCAUCUGGCUGGUCUGGACCAGGAUAAAAGUGAAGACUUCCUCUGUGAAGACCCAGCUCUUUCUUUGGUUCCUUUUUUGAAUCCAUCUUUGCUCUGCUCUCCUCCGCUGCCCAGAAAGUUCCAGAGUGAAGCUCAGCUCUAGAUGAACAAAAACUGGUUGAGUCCAGAGAUGCCUGAGUUGGAGAUGAACCUUGUGAACUUUCCUCAUUAUCAUACUAAAAACCCCACCCAGGAAGGAGCUUAUCUGCCAUUUCCUACACAUGUGACAUAUGGAGAAGCAUGAUCAGCUACUUCACAGUCUCUGCCUUUACUCUGCCUCCGCAUACAAUGGCUCAGCUAACUAGCCUAAUGAAAGCUGUUUUCACCAUUGUUUGGGAGGUACUGCUUUGGGAAACUGCCCCAGCUGUCCUCCUUACUUGUAGGUAAUAAAAUCCCUUUGUUAAAUC